UCCGAGUUGACCCCGGCAGUCUCCUAUUUCUAGGACGAUCCACUGUUGUCUAGUCCAGGUAAGGUUCUUCGCGUUGCGUCGAAUUGAACCACAUGCUCCACCGCUUGUGCGGGCCCCCGUCAAUUCCUUUGAGUUUUAAUCUUGCGACCGUACUCCCCAGGCGGGGCACUUAAUGCGUUAGCUGCGGCACCCAGGGGGUCAAUACCCCGGACACCUAGUGCCCAUCGUUUACAGCGUGGACUAC
rnacentral:misc_RNA from 1 species